AUUGAACGCUGGCGGCAGGCCUAACACAUGCAAGUCGAACGAGUGGCGGACGGGUGAGUAAUGUCUGGGAAACUGCCUGAUGGAGGGGGAUAACUACUGGAAACGGUAGCUAAUACCGCAUACCAUCAGAUGUGCCCAGAUGGGAUUAGCUAGUUGGUGGGGUAACGGCUAACCAAGGCGACGAUCCCUAGCUGGUCUGAGAGGAUGACCAGACACACUGAAACUGAGACACGGUCAAGAAUCCAACGGGAGGCAGCAGAGGGGAAUAUUGCACAAUGGGAGCAAGCCGGAUACAGCCAUGCCGCGUGUAUGAAGAAGGCCUUCGGGUUGUAAAGUACUUUCAGCGGGGAGGCGUUACCCACAGAAGAAGCACGGGGUAACUCCGUGCCAGCAGCCGCGGUAAUUC
rnacentral:rRNA from 1 species